rnacentral:rRNA from 1 species
ACGGGUGAGUAAUACAUCGGAACGUGCCCUGUAGUGGGGGAUAACUAGUCGAAAGAUUAGCUAAUACCGCAUACGACCUGAGGGUGAAAGUGGGGGACCGCAAGGCCUCAUGCUAUAGGAGCGGCCGAUGUCUGAUUAGCUAGUUGGUGAGGUAAAGGCUCACCAAGGCGACGAUCAGUAGCUGGUCUGAGAGGACGAUCAGCCACACUGGGACUGAGACACGGCCCAGACUCCUACGGGAGGCAGCAGUGGGGAAUUUUGGACAAUGGGGGCAACCCUGAUCCAGCAAUGCCGCGUGUGUGAAGAAGGCCUUCGGGUUGUAAAGCACUUUUGUCCGGAAAGAAAUCGCACUUACUAAUAUUAGGUGUGGAUGACGGUACCGGAAGAAUAAGGACCGGCUAACUACGUGCCAGCAGCCGCGGUAAUACGUAGGGUCCAAGCGUUAAUCGGAAUUACUGGGCGUAAAGCGUGCGCAGGCGGUUGUGCAAGACCGAUGUGAAAUCCCCGGGCUUAACCUGGGAAUUGCAUUGGUGACUGCACGGCUAGAGUGUGUCAGAGGGGGGUAGAA